UUGGCGCUUCAGUGAAGGAUUUAUAGCUGUACUCUCUAAUUUGUUGAACUAGUCAAGAGGACGUUACCGUUGAAAAAAAAUAUACAUGGAAGUGAGAGAGGAAGCCCUGACUGAGGACCUCCCAGGCAUUGACUUUAGGGGUGGAUUUGUUCCUUUACCAUCCAUCUUCAGGAAGAACACUGACCACCUCAUUACUUUUAAAGAGGGUGAACCUACAACACCAUAUCCAACAAUUCAGCUGAAAGACCAGGACUGGAAAACCACCAUUUGUAGACGAAGUCAGAGUGUGGUGAAGGUUAAUGGAGUUGAGGUUUGCUCAUGUGCUCCAAUAGAUGAGGCCUUUAUCACAACCAUCUGUACAUAUUUUGCCUUCAACAUUGCAUACCCUGCACACCUGAAAAGCACAAUGAUGUUUCUCCAAAGGUGCAUUCUAAAUGUUAAGGAGGACAGAAAAGCCAAUGCCAGUAACUGUGACUCGAGUGAUCAACCUUCUGUACUGAACCAGCCAUGUGUCCAAUGCACCAGUGCACAAAAUGUCCACAUAGAACGUUUACCCUUGUGACUGUACAAAGUCCAGGAACGGAACUGGAUCAUCAAGCUCUUGAUACAUAUUCAGUUGAUGAUCUUUUUGUGUCAAUGAAGUAUUCGGUCUAAGCGCAUAGGAAUACAGCAUUGUCAAUGUUUUUAGUAAAACCUUUUUCAUUCAUAUAAAAACUGUUGGCAUAAUAUCAACUUUUAUAUGUGAUGCCAUAUGUGAAGCUGUUCUAGAUGUCAGGUUUUUUUUUUUAUUGCAGAAGAGGGUGCAGGUUUGGUGGUUGAAAUGGGUUUUUUCUGUGUACAUUUUAAUUCUACCAUGUUUGGAUGAAAUACACUUUUAAAAUUGCAAUAAUGACAUUUCACUAUUUUACUUUUAAUUUGUUCUGUAUGCUGUUGACAUUUUAAUCAAUGGUUAAAAUAACAGUGAAGGUGGGCAGGUCUUUGUUUUAAAUCUCACUUUCAUAAACGAUCUAUGAAUUUGUCUUUGUAAUGAUCUCGAAUUGUUUAUUUGCCACUAAAUAAACAGCCUUGA